GAUAAACGCUGGCGGCGUGCCUAAUACAUGCAAGUCGAACGCCGGACACCUAGCUUGCUAGGGAGAAGGAGUGGCGAACGGGUGAGUAAUACAUAAGCAAUCUGCCCACAAAGACUGGGAUAACCUCUGGAAACGGGGACUAAUACCGGAUAGGUAGGAGAGAGGCAUCUUUCUUCUAUUAAAGAUGAGAAGCACUAGUGGAUGAGCUUAUGGCGCAUUAGUUAGUUGGUGAGGUAACGGCCCACCAAGACGAUGAUGCGUAGCCGGCCUGAGAGGGUGAACGGCCACAUUGGGACUGAGACACGGCCCAGACUCCUACGGGAGGCAGCAGUAGGGAAUUUUCGGCAAUGGGGGGAACCCUGACCGAGCAACGCCGCGUGAGUGAAGACGGCCUUCCGGGUUGUAAAGCUCUGUUGUAAGAAAAGAUAAACUAGGAGAGGAUCUUAGUCAGACAUUAUCUUACCAGAAA
rnacentral:rRNA from 1 species